rnacentral:rRNA from 1 species
AUUGAACGCUGGCGGCAGGCCUAACACAUGCAAGUCGAGCGAGCGGCGGACGGGUGAGUAAUGUCUGGGAAACCGCCCGAUGGAGGGGGAUAACUCCUGGAAACGGUAGCUAAUACCCCAUACUAUCAGAUGUGCCCAGAUGGGAUGGGCUAGUCGGUGGGGUGACGGCGUACCCAGGCGACGAUCCCUAGCUGGUCUGAGAGGAUGACCAGCCAACCGGGAACAGAGACACGGUGCAGACUCCUACGGGAGGCAGCGGUGGGGAAUAUGGGACAAUGGGCGAAAGCCUGAUGGAGCCAUGCCGCGUGUGUGAAGAAGGACUUCGGGUUGUAAAGCACUUACAGCGGGGAGGGGUUACCCGCAGAAGAAGCACCGGCUAACUCCGUGCCAGCAGCCGCGGUAAUAC